rnacentral:lncRNA from 1 species
AGCCCAUAGGAGCGGAUGCCUGCUUCUAUGGGCUGGAAAGCUCCCAGAAACUGCUUCCUCCCCUCCCUCCCUCAACCGCGCAUGUGCUCCCAGGCCCUGCCCGCCUGCAUUGAAAAGAGGACUGAGGGAAGAAAGGAAGAGAAGAAGGAAGGGGGAGAGAGAGAGGAAGAGGAGGAGAAGUUUGCAUCAUGUCACAUGAGACAGUCAAAAGGAACUUCUGAGCAAUUGCUCGGGCUGGAUUUUCCGCACCUUGCAAUGCUUUCCUCUGACUGGCAUUUCAGAUCAAUAACUUCUGAAAAGAAGAGGAAUUAACUCCAGGGGUAUUUUCCCAUGACUGAUUCUAUGCGAUGGGAAUGAUAACUACCUGAUGUAAUCUCUCGUGCUUUGUUGCGGACAAGGCUGCAGACGAUCUGCUCAACCAGGAGUGACAGCACAAGCCACAAAUACUGGCAAUAGAGAACCGCACAAAAGAAAGAGGAGGAAUCCAACUCCACCACUUGCCACAUGCCUCGGAGGUCAGAUCAAGCCACAAAGGGAGUGACUGCUCUUUGCACACACCAUCAGCCCUGUCCACAUGAUUUACAAGCAGAAAAUACUGAAGGUAACAUUCUGCAUAUGGGAUACUGAAAAAACACCUAGCAUUAGAUGUCUUAAAAUCAUCCAGAAUUAAUAAGUCAGUGUUAACAAGCAGGAGAUCAGAGAAAGAACUGCAGAGAAACUAUUCAGAUCGGGAAGGCUGAUAGAUGCUGUGUCCCUCAUUUAUUCCAUGUGUAAAAUGGUUGUUCAGGAUUGACAAUUUACAGUGACAAGGGGCAAUCAUGACAGAAGAAAAGGGCACAGGAGGCUAUAGGAUAAAUAUAUUAUUUGUAUUAUUAUUAGCAUUGUUGCUAUCAUGAUCAUCUCAUCAUCAUUGUCAUCACUACGCCUUUUCCAGAGUUUGGAAAUACAAAUAAAGUUUACAAAAAAAGAUAAAAAGCACAUAAUUAAAAAGGUGAUUAAACUACCAAAAUGUAAAACCACUUUAAAACAAUUUUAAAAAUAGAGAAAGUCCAUUCCUUUGGGGAUUAUAAGUCAAGUCACCUGAGAAUCUAAUGGCCUAAUUUAUACUGUUCAGUUCUCAUGCAUGUAACAUGUCGCUAUCCCCAAGAGUGCAGGAUUCUAGAAAUUUGAUGUUUUAAGCAAAACAGAAGAAAUUUUUGAUGUUCCUGUCAGAUCAAAUGUCCUUCUAGAGAUUGCAGUUUGGGAGAAAGGUUCAUGAUUCUGAUUUCUGCUCCUAUAUGUAAAUUUCCAAAGAACAUUAGAGUUUCACAUGCUCUCCACAUAAAAAGGUCUCACAGCUAGCCCCUCCCCUGGAUAUCCACAUAUUGCCAAACAGGAAUACUAUAAGUGAAGCCUAUUGGUAUAUCCAUUGAUUUCCAUAUAUCCUGGAUUCAGUUGCUUUCCUCUAGAGAGAUGGUUGUUGGGCAAUAUGUUUCUGGACUGUUGGGAAAGGGAAAAACACUAAAGACAAGAAGCAACAAUGAAAGGGUCUUUCAUAGCCCUCCAAGUGGUAGGGAAGCAACAAUCCUGACUGAAUUUAUCGUUUUAGCCCACGCAUGGGCAAACUUUGGCCCUCCAGGUGUUUUGGACUUCAGCUGGGGAGUUGAAAUCCCAAAGACCUGGCGGGCCAAAGUUUGCCCAUGCCUGUUUUAGCCUCUAUCACACACAUAGAAAUCUUGAAGAAACCUCCCCUCUCACUUGACCAAUCUUCAGCAGGAUCAUUUACAUAAGGAAAAAAUUCAAGGCUGUUCUCCGGUGACAUUGGCUUCCUGCUCAUGUAUGAGUAUUGCAUGCACACACUUGCAUGUGUGUGUCUAUAUGCACAUAUUUGUGAUCCCGGCAUCCUUGGGGAUGCACAGCUCAAUGCUGAAUGAGACCACUAUGAGAAUUUGUAGUAUGGUGUUCCGAAGGAAGAUGCUACCCUUGCUGUGCUGAAAACACCCAGUUCUAUUUCUUCUCAUUACCUGCAUACGCAGUGAAGCCGUGGGAGCACUGAACCACAAUACGCAGAAUUAAUAAUGUGCUGGAUGAAGACCAAUAAAUGAAAGCCAACAAGACUGAGGUGUUUUAAUAUCUAAGAAUGCUAUCCCUCAGUAUUCACAUGGACUUGGUUCCACAGAUUUCCAAAUCUAUAGAUGCUUAGGUUCAUCCUGCCAACCUUGCAUGUCAGCUCCUUCCUUCCUUCUUUUUCCUUCUCUCUCCCCGCUCCACCUCAGCAUCUUCUUUGCCUUCAGUAGAGGAGUACUACAGAAUAGCUUCCACUAUAGUCCUCUCACAAGGCCACCAUAAAGUGUAAGGGGUGGGGGAGAUGAGAUAUGCUGCUUUUCAUAGAAUCAUAGAGUUGGAAGAGACCUCACGGGCCAUUCAGUCCAACCCCCUGCUAAGGAGCAGGAAAAUCACACUCAAAGCACCCCUGACAGAUGGCCAUUCAGCCUCUGGUUAAAAGCUUCCAAAGAAGGAGCCUCCACCACACUCCAGAGCAGGGAGUUCCACUGCCAAAAAUCUCUAACAGUGAGAAAGUUCUUCCUAAUGUUCAGGUGGAAUCUCCUUUCCUGAAGUUCUGCGUCCUAGUCUGCAGAGCAGCAGAAAACAAGCUUGCUCCCUCUUCCCUAUGACUUUCCCUCACAUAUUUAUACAUGGCCAUCUGUAUCUUUGUAUUUCAUUUUUGUGCCUAAGUGUAGUAUCUUGCAUUUGUCCCUGUUGAACUCCAUUUUGUUAGUUUCAGCCCAUCUCUCUAAUCCGUUAAGAUCGUUUUGAAUUCUG